ensembl:lncRNA
UUUUAUUCUACUAGAGGAGAGAUGUAUUUUUAUUCUACUAGAGGAGAGAUGUAUUUUUAUUCUACUAGAGGAGAGAUGUAUUUUAUUCUACUAGAGGAGAGAUGUAUUUUUAUUCUACUAGGAGAGAUGUAUUUUUAUUCUACUAGAGGAGAGAUGUAUUUUUAUUCUACUAGAGGGAUGUAUUUUAUUCUACUAGAGGAGAGAUGUAUUUUUAUUCUACUAGAGGAGAGAUGUAUUUUAUUCUACUAGAGGAGAGAUGUAUUUUAUUCUACUAGAGGGAUGUAUUUUAUUCUACUAGAGGAGAGAUGGAGGGAUGUAUUUUAUUCUACUAGCGGAGAGAUGGAGGGAUGUAUUUUAUUCUACUGGAGGAGAGAUGGAGGGAUGUAUUUUAUUAAACUAGAGGAGAGAUGUAUUUUAUUAAACUAGAGAGGUGGAGGGAUGUAUUUUAUUAAACUAGAGAGGUGGAGGGAUGUAUUUUAUUAAACUAGGAGAGAUGGAGGGAUGCAUUUUAUUAAACUAGAGGAGAGAUGGAGGGAUGCAUUUUAUUAAACUAGAGAGAUGUAUUUUAUUCUACUAGAGAGAUGGAGGGAUGUAUUUUAUUAAACUAGAGGAGAGAUGUAUUUUCUUAAACUAGAGAGAUGUAUUUUCUUAAACUAGAGGAGAUGGAGGGAUGCAGGGAUGUAUUUUAUUAAACUAGAGGAGAGAUGUAUUUUCUUAAACUAGAGGAGAUGGAGGGAUGCAUUUUACUCUACUAGAGAUGGAGGGAUGUAUUUUAUUAAACUAGGAGAGAUGGAGGGAUGCAUUUUAUUCUACUGGAGGAGAGAUGGAGGGAUGUAUUUUUAUUCUACUACCAGAGGCGAGAUGGGGGUAUGCAUUUUAUUCUACUAGAGGAGAGAUGGAAGGGUGCAUUUUAUUCUACUUGCAGAGACGGAUGGAUUUUAUUCUACGACUAGAGGAACGGUCAGAGAUGGCAGAGCUUUGGCUUUGCAGCUUUUAAGUUGGAUUAAAGGUAUACGCUAGGAUACUUUCGUGAGCCAAUGCUAACUAGUGUUAGCACAAUGACUGGAAGUCCAUGGUAUCAUGCACCCAGUCAUUGCACUAACACCAGUUAAUAUUGGCUCACAAAAGUAUCCUUGCGUUAAUCAGACUGGGUGAGUAGAUAGGUUUUCAUUGUCAAAAUCCCUUUAAAUGUAGAGCUGAUGUGGAUGGUGUCAGUAAAGGAAGAGAUUAUUUUUAAAGUCACAUUUACACAACCCUCAUCUACCGGUAGAAAUUAGGGGGUGGUGAGGUCAUCACUCUCCUGCAAGACUCAGCCUAUCCUGUGGGGCUGCCAUGGGGUCUCCAGGUGCAUCCUUGAUGUCAUCUCCUGAGAACACGCCAACCUGUGUGUUGGCUUCAUAGAGGUAGAAAGGAUUCCUCUGUGCCUCAAUGGAUUCUGUGACAGCAUGGGUAGCGCCAUCUCAAUUUGAAAGUUGUCAAUUUUCUUGUUUGAAAUGAGUAUUGCUAAUAUUGGUGAUUUAGCGCCACCUGCAGUGCUGAACCAAAUCUUUAUUCAUUUGUUGGCUACCAAAUUUAUAAAAAUGUAUUUUACAAACCAUAGGCAACAAUUCACUGACUACUUUGAAAUGGUGGAAGCCAUUUUUUUUUCACUUUGACUUUUCUACAUUGUAGAAUAAUAGUUAAGACAAACUAUGGAAUCAUGUAGAAAUCAAGUGUUAAAUAAAUCAAA